rfam:Thermoactinomyces sp. Gus2-1 c22, whole genome shotgun sequence.
UAGGCAACAUCUGUGGAAGAGUUGCACUAUCGUUUUCCUGUUUUUUUCAAAAGGUCAAUAUUUGAGUUUAUGAAUCUGCUUCGAGCCAUUGGGACGGGGACAGAAAG